CAUGGGUUUUUAUCAGUUUGUGCACAUCUGAAGGAUACACAGACAAAUGGGCUUGCGCUUGCAAGUGCCUGUGGUGCAUAUUGAUAGAUUUGAGAAUAUCUCGCAGCUCGGGGGAGUCACCAGCAGAAAAGGUGAACGGAAAAGACGUCGCUCAGGUAAAUUACCAAUUUAGAAGUAAUGUUAGAGGAUUUGUGUGUGUGUAAUGGGGUUAGGAACCGGGGUUGUGUAAAGCUAAAAACAAGCAAUGGGAACUUAUACUUGUUUCUUUUCUGAAAAUCUCUCAAUAGCUCAACAAUGCCUUUCUAUAGGACCCAGAUGCCCUGGACAGCAUAGUAUAAGGGCCCCACCAUCAAUCAAAUGUCAACCUCGCCCCUUGACCCCUUAAGCCCCGCCCAGCUGUCACCGAAAGUCCCAUCACUGGGGAUAUUACCUCCGGGGUCAAGCCAGACACUUGACCGGAAGCAAGCUGUGUCAUUUGACCCCUCUAAGAAUUCCUCCCACUGCCUUCUACCAAUCAGGAGGUGUUUUGCACCCAUGGGACUGCCCCGAGAGAUUUGACCUAUCGGGGGAGCUCCAGGGCAAGGUGACCCAUCCGAAACUGGGUCAUGUGACCCCUCUAACAACUCCUCCCACUGAUCUCUGCCAUCAGAGUGCAGCACUAUCGCCCCAUAAGUCCCAGCGCCAGGCAGAAGAGGCCAUCUCUUACCAAGAACGCAUGUUUAAGAAAUCGUGGAAAGGCUAAGAGGAAACAUGAACUCCUUCACCAUCACAGGCUCAAACACACAUGGGGAGAAACAGAACGGCCAUGUGCCAGCAACCCUUUAUCCUCUGGUAGAAGUAUGGUCAAAACAUGAGAGAUCCUUAAACCAAGGGUAAACAAGCUCAAAAGAAAAAGGAAAGAGACAGCUGCAAAGGAAAACUCACCAGCAUCAAUGGCUGAUGGAUGGAUGAA